UGUUAGUAGUCGCGCGCGGACGUAUUCCACAUCAUGGCUUCUGCCAAAUAUGCAUUUUUUUCUGAAACGAAUGUUGGUGUUGACACAACAUAGCUGGUAAAACGAAAGACACAAGACAGGACUUGCUCCUUGCAGCAAGCUAUCGCAAAAAGGCUGUGGUGAGUUGCGUGACCGCUGCAUGACCUCAUUACGUUAUGUGAGGCCCGCAGCAAAACGCUAACAACAUGCUCAUGUAGAAUAAUCGUUACACAUAAGCAUUCCUAUCGCUCGAAGAGUAAACGCGAACUAAAUCAUAACAAUAAUAAUGGGUUUUCACACUGUCUGGUACUAUAAGACUUUGAUAUUGGUAAGUGAUACAAUUCACUUCACUAUUUGUUACGUUUGCUUGCGUGCGCUAGCUGACAUCAAACAUGGCGCGCUGGCGCGGCUUGGAGCUUGCUACUGGAGGUGCGCGGAUCGGAGCUGAUCGGGCCAGUCAGUAAAAAAUAACAAUGCUGUGUCAGAUUAUACUUUAUUUUUUAUCUCAUAUCUUGGUACAUAUGUGAACAAGACAAUUUUACCUCACCUUGACGGCGGUCCUUCAGUCGAAACGGAGCUUGAUGUUGUGGUAGAACGCUAUCGACAGGCACGUUGGCUUUAUUUACUUGGCUGCAUUAAAGCUUCAAACAGUGGCUAGUGACUGAAAAUUACCAUCACACUACAGUGAGUGAUGUUAUCUAGUGUUGAAACCAUAUAGUCCUAGCCCAUGGGUGAUUAUUUAGUCUCCAUUCUAGGGUAGUCUGGCCAGUUUUCCGACCCGAAAGCCCGGUGGAUAGUAGUUGUUGACUUGGGGAUUAGCCGCUUCACGCUCGAUUGACAGAAGCAGCAUCAAAAACAGCGGGCUGGUAGUCCUCAAGCACCGGGGAGACCAGGCCUAGGGCUGCCAGCCAAGGAUCAUCUGGGGGUAAUUAUCGCGAUACCAGCUAUCGGGAUCCCCGGGUUUAAACAUAUGCACCAACUAAUCAACAAUAAUACCACAACCGGCUAACUGACAGCUCUUCAGGUACCCGGUAGGACAGACUUAGGCAGUAAAGCGGACUUUUACGGAUUCCCCUCCGCAAACGGAAAUUUUUUUAAUAGUUGUUAACGCGCGAGUUAGUUGAGUUGAUUUCUACACCCAUAUUGUUCCUCGGUAACACGACUGAAGUUCGUCUAAAUGGAGAGUCUGAUAGGGACAUGAACGUCACUGCCGGCAGUCCCGGCGCACUUUGUUUCUUAGGGCGAUCUACAGAAGUAAGUUUGACCGUCCUAAGCGGAGAGAAAUUCAACCUAGACAUACAUUGCUAUGGGCCAGUGCGCUGUACGCAGUUUUGCGUCUUGCUUUAUUUGACUUUGGUUUAGUUUUUUGUUGUAUGAUUGUGCUAGUAUUGACUGCAUUGCCGUUGCAUACACAGUUCGCUUUGGUCUAGUAUGAUCCGAUUGUUUUUUGAAUGGCUGUUGGAUUUUAUCCUUGUCGUAUUUUAUUUUAGUUCUCUAUUUUUUUUCUUUGCUUAUGUCCUAUCCCCGCUAUAGUGGGCUUUCAAUUGUCCAAACAUCCAACACACCCAUCUAACUUCACUGAACCAGCCCCCACUGAGCCAGAGGCACAGUCCCCGAAGUCUGGGUUUCCAAGAGGCUGGACAGCUGUAAAAACAGACCUGACUAACAAACCCUGAGUAAGUUGGAUGUUCUGCCAAAAGCCAAACAAUAAACAUCGAUGCCAUCAAUGAUGUGUCACGAUUUGCUCUGCCACCAAUGGUAACUAUUCAUCGUAUAUAUUCACAAUAUUGUUGGGGGGACCUCCUUGUAUGAUCAAGAUGUUGACUUUCUCGACCAGAGUAUGACACUUCUCUAUCGGAGGUGUCCAUCUAUUGAUAUGGUCUGCACCAGUAUAGGCGUUGAUUGAUGUUCGCCUUAUCUCACGAGCUUCUGUACAGGAAAUACAAAUGAAGAACCAAGAUUAGUUGUGCAAACAUCUUUUUUUUUUGCCAGUUGACGCGAUAGAUACGUCUUCAAGUUGGUCUGGCAAUAGCUGGUAUUUAUUAAGCCAACAGAGAGAACUGGAGACAGCUGAUACUCAUGGUCAAUAAACACUUAAAUACAUAAAGACGUCUUCCAUGGUUUGGAAACACAUUAAAACAAUGUAAAACGCAAAUAAGUUGUGUGAUAUAUUCAACGAGAUCGAGAAUAUUGCCAAGUAGACCGAUCCGGUCCGCCAACACGUAAACAAGAUAAUCCAUCACAGAUGUCAGCCGCGGCCGGCCUCACAUUAUCAAUUUUUUUUUUUUUUUUUCAGACAAUUGCAAACGAAAAACGAGUGAAUAUCAUCAAGAUAGUACAAGACCCUGGAUAGCAUCAUAAACGAGAAGUUCGGGACAAAACCUGAGGGUAUGGACAAACUGACGUGUUGGUUGCGAGACACAUUCCAAACGUUGCCUUACACAACAUGGCGUGGAUAUGACAGAAUCUGCCAAGAAUUCGUCAACACAGGCAUACGGGCAACCAAAAUUUUAAAAGUAUUCUUCCUACAUAAUAACAAAAAUAAAUUACAUCAAAAGACUAUUUGCCAGGGAAAAUGCCAAAUUACUGUCUUUGUACUGUCCAGGAAGCACCCACCUCUCGCCACCGCCCUUCACCAAAUGAAGCUGUGUAACUGUGCGACGGGAAAUACUGUACAUAUCCAUCCGCCGUCAAACUUGCUUGCUGUAUAGCAGCAAAUAAUUAAUCGUAAACAGCUAAUUUUUGUUUUAAUUAUUAGGCACGUAUUAAACCAAAGCAGAAAAUGACGCCAAUGAUCUAAAACUAAGCUCUAAUUCGAUGAAUGUCUCCUCAUUGUGUGGACUAUUUUCUGGCGGCACUUGUGUACAUCCUGUCCGAGGAGGGUAUUCGGUGGCGUGGGGUAGCGAGGCUCACAAAGGGUUUGUCAAAACGAGGUCAUCUGUCAUUAUUGUAGCUGGUUACGAGGAAGAUAUAGAGACCAAAGUCUUCAGUCUGAACGAAGGGUUUCGGGGAAGGUUUUCCCGAUACUAUCCACUCAACUUCAGCGCAUUGACAGUUGAGGUAAGACAAAUUCAAAUGGUUCUACUGUAUACAUGUGAUUUUGAGACUUGUCUUCAAGGUAGGUCUUGACCUAUCAAACAUAAAUGACUAGAUUUCAGACCCCCAUCGACUUUCCUUGGUUAUGCACAAGAACAUACUGCUUCAAUAUUUCUUGUUCUUUUUUGGGCAAGGCAAAUGCGUCUUACUCUCGUAAAUAAGUGGUGUAGCUAAUGAUAAUGAUUGCAGUUUAUUGCAUUGGAUGAUAACAUUAUGAAAGUAAUUAUUCCACUACCUAAAAAUUGUAUUGCCACAAAUACAUGUACAUAUACAUGCACGCAAUAGCCAUUUCAUUAUCACCACUCUCUCUUUUAUUAGCAACUGGAAGAGAUCCUGGUAGAAAAGAUCAGAGCGGGUGGAUACGAUCGCAAAGACUACGAUAGAGACUCCAUGCUGGCUGCCAUCGAAGAGAUUCCGGCAGAUUACAGAGGAAAGCACAAUGCCCGUCUCAUAAACAGACUGCUGGUAGGCGCCAACACCCGUGACGAAGGAAAGUCAACAAACCUGCUUGUCACUUUGGAGCAUGUGCCUCAGUUCCUGCGAAAGUACAACUACAUCAAUGACCUGUCCCGUGAAAGUGUUGAGCAGAAAAGCCACACACGCAACAGGAGGUUCCACCAUUGGCAGGAUGAACAGACUACUCAAAAGAGCAGACACAGACGGGGAUGUACAGCGGGAGACAGACCACCAUCACAAAGCUGACACGACUGCAGAUGUCCAUACUGUGGUGGAGCAGUAUGCUCAGAUAGAAGUAUUCCUUCGCCAACCAGAAAAAGCGUAUGGUUGUUUGUUUCCCUAACUUCAAAGGGAGUGUCCUGUCAGCGAAAGUAAACGCACGCAAACAAGUAGUGUGGAUGAGAUUACUUUUCCCUAGUAACAAAAACCUGAAGGGAAGGUUUCCAGAUACCGUCUUGCUGUCAGCAUUCAAAAUCUUCAACCCAGACGAAGCCGAAGAUAACCACUAGCAUAGAUUAGAGGUAUAUCUAGCAUAGUUUUCACCUUGUAGUCAAAGCCAUGUGUGGUUCCUUCAGUUCUGGUUUUAGACAUAGGGGUAAUUCCAUAAAUGCAAUUCAUACAUCUCUCAAUGGUUUAUUUUCCAGCUCCUCUGUGAGCAUUAUGCAGAUGAAGUGGAAGAGCUGGAGGAGGUUGAGAGCAAACACAGCGUCUUGGCAGGUGUGCUGAAAACUCACUACAACGACCUGACCACAACUGAAAUCCUGCGAAAGGUACUGAAAGUGCAUGGCGACACCAUGCCCAACCUGGCCAAGUUGGCAGCAGCAGCUGUCAUACCCGUGUCAACAGCAGGUAUGUGGACUUGGCUGGCUUGCCUAGAUAACAUAAUUGAUUUGAUUGUGGAUACAGUUUUU